GACGGGAUAGGAACGUACUGAAUCAACAGGCAGCUUGAAUUGCGUAUAGCAGGACUUUAGCGAACGAGCAAUCGAAGAUUCCUGCUAAUCACUCGUACUCCUCCUAGCUCAUGAUUCAGUCUGUGGUCACGGAGCUAUGUAAGACCUCUGUACUCAAGUACCUGGUCCUUUACUUGACCAAGGGAAAAUCCCUAAGAAAUGCGCCGAGCAGAAUAGCAGCAUCAUGCUUUAAUUUAAGAAGGAUGUUAAGCUAGCUCGAUCGCAGGAAAUGAUGGAAAGGUUGAAGCCCCAGUGGCAAGAAGAACAAGGUAACGGAUGGAAGAUAGAUAGAACGAGGUGACAUUGGAACUGGCAGUCAAGUAAUCAAGCUACUGCCCUUCCCUUCCUUGGGCUAUGAGGGAUAGGAGUUCCUAGCCCCAUUUAGCAGUAAACUGCCUGAUCUUCUUUCUUCUACAAGCAGUUCCUAAUAGAUAGAAAAGGAAGAAGCCCUAUUAAUGAACAGCGGGUCCCACUAUGAAUCAGAGAAGGACUUCACUCGCACAAAGAACAAACAAACAAAGAAAAAGUGCUUGCAGCGGGUGAGGAUGAGGACUUUUCAUUCUCAAGGAAAUAAAAUGAAAAAGGAGUGAACCUUAGCUAGGUUGGCUCCUAGGCUAAAGCAACUGUACAACAGGCGAUGUUAUCAGCGAUGCCUCGCUGCGGUGACCAACAAAGCAUUAUUGAAAGAAGACAACAAUCGUCAGGUGGAGUUGCCCUAUAGUUAGUAGACUUCCCCUCAGCCUCUCAACUCAUACAGAGGGAGGGGAAAGAGACUGAUGCUACUACCAAUACCAGGUUACCGGGGUUUUCAUAUCGAGCGAAGCGAGGGGAGCUAACGCC